GAGGCUUUAUCUUAAUAAAAGUACCUGAGUUGCAUUCAGGAGAUAUAGGUUAAUGUUCUAUAAGUCUUA
rnacentral:tRNA from 1 species